rnacentral:misc_RNA from 1 species
UCUAGCAGAACUCUGUCUGUCUUGUCUUGUCAAAUCAACAACAGAACUGUUAAUUUUUAGAAGUUUCCUUGAUAAUAAUAAAUCCUUGUAAUUCUAAAGUAUAUCUGUUCAAAAUUACAGUUUUCAACAUAAUUUUAUAGUUUCUAAUUACGUGAAUGUGCUAUUAGUGCUACAUUUAUCUGACUUCACAAACGUAAGUGCUCUUGACUCAUGACAAUUGAACUGAUGUGCUAAAAAGUAGGCCUAGUUGACUGAAUUUUCGUUCUAUCUACAUUUUAGGUGCGUCAGCAACGCAUCGAUUGGAGCUUGGCUACUGAUUCACUCCUGUCAUGGACCACAGCAAACAAGUAUGCCACUUGACAGGUAUGGACCAACAAAUUAGUGGAGAAGAUACUUGACGAGUUCUGCAAUGUAUUGAUGAAGCCAGAUUGCUGGAGGUUGAGAUACAUGGAUGCUGAUUUAUGAGUUUGCCAUCCUGAUGUGACUUGAGUCAUGGACCAGAGCAGAGCCUUCACGUGUGCUUGUUGACAACAGCUGUGAGCAGAGUGAGACAGAACAAGAGAGGAGCUGUAGAUCAUCACAGCAUGUCUGCGGAACAUUUGAGCAAGCGAAGUGAGUUCUCACCAUCUGAGAUCAUCACUCUGUCGCCGCGCGAAGUGAGUUCUCAUCCCCUGUUGCAGUCUCCAUUCACCUGGAUUGCGCGAGUGUUGAAAUGUUGGAAGCUGGCAGAGGAAGGAAUGUUGCUAGCCUACUUUGAGGGUCAACUUCUCCCACUCAUCAUCAAUGGACAUUUCACUCACUCACAGUACUCGAGGAACGCGAGUUGGCAGUCACAUAAACUCUGGCAUUUAAAGACAUUCUUUUCAUGUUAUCAAAUUGUUCGUCAUUAUAUGAUGCAUACGUUCAUCUUUUGAUUUUAUGUUUUAUUCAUCAGUAAUGAAUGAAAACUCAUGCUCUGUUUUUAAAAUAAUGUAGUUUUCGUUUAUAUUUUAUGAUUUAUUCAUUCAUCUUAUUAUUUUGUGUUUUAUUCAUAAGUAAUAAACUAACAUUUUCUGUUUAAUAUCAUGUAGUUUCCAUUUUUAUAUUAUCCAUUUGUUUAUUAUUUUGAAGGUAUAUUCCAUGUGGGGCCUUCUGAGUGUAGCCUUAUUAU